AAAGCGCUCCAAAUAUCCACUUGCAGAUACUACAAAAACACUGUUUCAAAACUACUCUCUCAAAACUACUCUCUCAACUCACAGAUUUGAAUGCACACAUCACAAAGCAGUUUCUGAGAAUGCUUCUAGUUUGUAUGUGAAGAUAUCCCAUUUACAACGAAUUCCUCAAAGAGCUCCAAAUAUCCACAAGCAGAUUCUACAAAAGGGGUGUUUCAAAACUGCUCUAUCCAAAGAACGGUUCAGCCCUGUGAGUUGAAUGCACACAUCACAAAGCAGUUUCUGAGAAUGCUUCUCUCUAGUUUCUAUGUGAAGAUAUUCUGGAUUACAACGAAGGCCUCAAAGAGCUCCAAAUAUCCACUAGCAGAUUCUACAAAAAGAGUGUUUCAAAACUGCUCUAUGAAAAGAAAAGUUCAACUCUGUUAGUUGAAUGCACACGUCACAAAGCAGUUUCUGAGAAUGCUUCUGUUUAGUUUUUAUGUGAAGAUA
rnacentral:lncRNA from 1 species